UGAGUCUAAGCCGUGAAUAAGGAGCAGGAACAGAUACUCUUGAGGAAAAAAAACUAUUGAGUGGUCAUGCAAUCAGUCCCAGCAGGAGCUGAAGGUCAUACCAUAAGUCAUACAAAAGUCUUUUUCCAUUGACAGAAAAAACCCACAGUGAUACAGACAUUUCACCUUCUUUUCCAGAAAACAGACUUUCAGUAAUAAAAGAGAAAAUAUUCUUCACCCAAUAUUUUUUUCAGCAUCAUAGGAAAUCUCCAGAUAUUUUGAUCAUCUAACCUAUAAUCCUUUAUCCAAGCCCUCAAAGCAUUUUACAAAGAUCAUCGAUGUAAGUCCUCAGAAGGUUCUGUGCAUCCAAGCGUUCUUGAGUAUAAAUCUCACUAAAGCGAGCCACCAGGUGGGCAUGACGUGCAGCAUUCGUAAGCCUGGCCCGGCCAGGUGAGCAGCUCCUGAGCGGAAGAGGACUAGGUGAUCUACUUUGGCAGCGCCUUGGAGAAGGAGAGCGACUCCGUGCAAGUCUAAAAGAGAGAUGAAAAGUCGUUUUAAGGAGUACCUUGACAAGAUUUUUGGAGGCCCUGAAUAAUGAUGUCACAUGAGGCUGUAACCUUACUGAAGCCCUCCCUCAC